UCUUACUAGGUAUUUAGGCGGAACAACAAGCUUCAAUUGUAGAAGAGCAGGAGCCUACCUCUUUAGCUGACGAAGAGGCUUUCUUGGUAGAAACUCAUCCUUGGGGACAAAAAUAUGGAAACCGAGAAACUCAACCCCAAACUCACAAAACACAUCGGUUUUAUUUUACUUGGGGCGUGUUCGCUUUUCAUGAAGUGAAGGGGGAAUGAUACCCUUGCGAGACUCGGAUAAAUGAUACCCUUGCGAGACUCGGAUAAGUUGGUUUCCCGAGUAGAGGCUACUUGAUCAGGUCAUCGCUGCUACUCCAUCUAGUUACUAAUGCCAAAGAGUUUAUCCUCCUACAAUCUAUCAUCUUCGUCAUCCCUUUGUUGACGGCACCAUUAAUCCUCCUAGUUGUCGUCGUCGCUGCUCCGCCUAGUUGCCGCCGCUGCUCAUUGUUUUUUCAUCCAUUGAAACGAAUUCUUGGUAAUCCAAUUUGUAGAAUGGGUACCAAAAUGAUUUUGGAGGACAUUAAACUUAUAGUGAAGCGGAAUACACAUUUGGGAGCGAAGAAAUGAAGGAUAUGCUUAUCUUGUUGAUCAAUCCAGCCAAAUCCUGUUUAAUUGAGAUGCUAUUAAAACAAUCUUACUUAAGGCAUGUAAAACUCAGAGAACCAAGAAAUCUAGCCCAAGCGAAGUCUCAUAGGAGCUCUAAUUGCAGGUUGUUGUGCAACAAUUUCGAACAUACAAGAACUUGAAAAAGUUCGCAAAAUGUUAGCUUUUGGAUGGCCAAAAAUAUAGGAGAUACUUAUCCAGUUUACUGGGAAAAAAAUAAGAGAAAAAUGUAUCAUACACCAUUGUUGUUGUCUUUUGGCGUUUCAUAGGAUAUGGUAUUAAUUUCUUGAGAAAUCAAUGAUAUAAGUUCUUUUUGUAUCAGGUACAAGUGCAUUAUACACCAACAUCUGGAUUCUUUUCAUUUCUUUCUUUCUUUCUUUUUUUUUUUUUGUUUGAGCAAAAACAUAUUGUUGUCAGUUUGGAAUAAUGACA